GACGAACGCUGGCGGCGUGCUUAACACAUGCAAGUCGAACGAAGAGCGAUGGAAGCUUGCUUCUAUCAAUCUUAGUGGCGAACGGGUGAGUAACGCGUAAUCAACCUGCCCUUCAGAGGGGGACAACAGUUGGAAACGACUGCUAAUACCGCAUACGAUCUAAUCUCGGCAUCGAGGAUAGAUGAAAGGUGGCCUCUACAUGUAAGCUAUCACUGAAGGAGGGGAUUGCGUCUGAUUAGCUAGUUGGAGGGGUAACGGCCCACCAAGGCGAUGAUCGGUAGCCGGUCUGAGAGGAUGAACGGCCACAUUGGGACUGAGACACGGCCCAGACUCCUACGGGAGGCAGCAGUGGGGAAUCUUCCGCAAUGGACGAAAGUCUGACGGAGCAACGCCGCGUGAGUGACGACGGCCUUCGGGUUGUAAAGCUCUGUUAAUCGGGACGAAAGGCCUUCUUGCGAAUAGUGAGAAGGAUUGACGGUACCGGAAGAGAAAGCCACGGCUAACUACGUG
rnacentral:rRNA from 1 species